GAUGAACGCUGGCGGCGUGCUUAACACAUGCCAGUCGAACGGAAAGGCUCCUGCUUGCAGGGGUACUCGAGUGGCGAACGGGUGAGUAACACGUGGGUGAUCUGCCCUGCACUUCGGGAUAAGCCUGGGAAACUGGGUCUAAUACCGGAUAGGACGAUGGUUUGGAUGCCAUUGUGGAAAGUUUGUUCGGUUUGGGCUGAGCUCGCGGCCUAUCAGCUUGUUGGGGGGGUAAUGGCCGACCAAGGCGUCGACGGGUAGCCGGCCUGAGAGGGUGUACGGCCACAUUGGGACUGAGAUACGGGCCAGACUGCUACGGGAGGCAGCAGUGGGGAAUAUUGCACACUGGGCGGAAGCCUGAUGCAGCGACGCCGCGUGGGGGAUGACGGCCUUCGGGUUGUAAACUCCGUGCGCUAGGGACGAAGCGCAAGUGACGGUACCUGGCGAAGAAGCACCGGCUAACUACGUG
rnacentral:rRNA from 1 species